ensembl:lncRNA
AUGUUGAACACCUGGCCUGACAGGAACAGGUUGAUGUUGAACACCUGGCCUGACAGGAACAGGUUGAUGUUGAACACCUGGCCUGACAGGUACAGGUUGAUGUUGAACACCUGGCCUGACAGGUACAGGUUGAUGUUGAACACCUGGCCUGACAGGAACAGGUUGAUGUUGAACACCUGGCCUGACAGGAACAGGUUGAUGUUGAACACCUGGCCUGACAGGUACAGGUUGAUGUUGAACACCUGGCCUGACAGGUACAGGUUGAUGUUAAACACCUGGCCUGACAGGAACAGGUUGAUGUUGAACACCUGGCCUGACAGGAACAGGUUGGUGUUGAACACCUGGCCUGACAGGAACAGGUUGAUGUUGAACACCUGGCCUGACAGGAACAGGUUGAUGUUGAACACCUGGCCUGACAGGAACAGGUUGGUGUUGAACACCUGGCCUGACAGGUACAGGUUGAUGUUGAACACCUGGCCUGACAGCAACAGGUUGAUGUUGAACACCUGGCCUGACAGGUACAGGUUGAUGUUAAACACCUGGCCUGACAGGAACAGGUUGAUGUUGAACACCUGGCCUGACAGCAACAGGUUGAUGUUGAACACCUGGCCUGACAGGUACAGGUUGAUGUUGAACACCUGGCCUGACAGGAACAGGUUGGUGUUGAACACCUGGCCUGACAGGUACAGGUUGAUGUUGAACACCUGGCCUGACAGGAACAGGUUGGUGUUGAACACCUGGCCUGACAGGUACAGGUUGAUGUUGAACACCUGGCCUGACAGGAACAGGUUGGUGUUGAACACCUGGCCUGACAGGUACAGGUUGAUGUUGGACACCUGGCCUGACAGCAACAGGUUGAUGUUGAACACCUGGCCUGACAGGAACAGGUUGAUGUUGAACACCUGGCCUGACAGGUACAGGUUGAUGUUGAACACCUGGCCUGACAGGAACAGGUUGGUGUUGAACACCUGGCCUGACAGGAACAGGUUGAUGUUGAACACCUGGCCUGACAGGUACAGGUUGAUGUUGAACACCUGGCCUGACAGGAACAGUUUGAUGUUGAACACCUGGCCUGACAGCAACAGGUUGAUGUUGAACACCUGGCCUGACAGGUACAGGUUGAUGUUGAACACCUGGCCUGACAGGAACAGGUUGGUGUUGAACACCUGGCCUGACAGGUACAGGUUGAUGUUGAACACCUGGCCUGACAGGAACAGGUUGAUGUUGAACACCUGGCCUGACAGGUACAGGUUGAUGUUGAACACCUGGCCUGACAGGUACAGGUUGAUGUUGAACACCUGGCCUGACAGGAACAGUUUGAUGUUGAACACCUGGCCUGACAGGAACAGGUUGAUGUUGAACACCUGGCCUGACAGGUACAGGUUGAUGUUGAACACCUGGCCUGACAGGUACAGGUUGAUGUUGAACACCUGGCCUGACAGGAACAGGUUGAUGUUGAACACCUGGCCUGACAGGAACAGUUUGAUGUUGAACACCUGGCCUGACAGGUACAGGUUGAUGUUGAACACCUGGCCUGACAGGAACAGGUUGAUGUUGAACACCUGGCCUGACAGGUACAGGUUGAUGUUGAACACCUGGCCUGACAGGUACAGGUUGAUGUUGAACACCUGGCCUGACAGGUACAGGUUGAUGUUGAACACCUGGCCUGACAGCAACAGGUUGAUGUUGAACACCUGGCCUGACAGGUACAGGUUGAUGUUGAACACCUGGCCUGACAGGAACAGGUUGAUGUUGAACACCUGGCCUGACAGGAACAGUUUGAUGUUGAACACCUGGCCUGACAGGUACAGGUUGAUGUUGAACACCUGGCCUGACAGGAACAGGUUGAUGUUGAACACCUGGCCUGACAGGUACAGGUUGGUGUUGAACACCUGGCCUGACAGGUACAGGUUGAUGUUGAACACCUGGCCUGACAGGUACAGGUUGUUGUUGAACACCUGGCCUGACAGGUACAGGUUGUUGUUGAACACCUGGCCUGACAGGUACAGGUUGAUGUUGAACACCUGGCCUGACAGGUACAGGUUGAUGUUGAACACCUGGCCUGACAGGUACAGGUUGUUGUUGAACACCUGGCCUGACAGGUACAGGUUGAUGUUGAACACCUGGCCUGACAGGUACAGGUUGAUGUUGAACACCUGGCCUGACAGGUACAGGUUGAUGUUGAACACCUGGCCUGACAGGUACAGGUUGAUGUUGAACACCUGGCCUGACAGGUACAGGUUGAUGUUGAACACCUGGCCUGACAGGUACAGGUUGAUGUUGAACACCUGGCCUGACAGGUACAGGUUGGUGUUGAACACCUGGCCUGACAGGUACAGGUUGAUGUUGAACACCUGGCCUGACAGGUACAGGUUGAUGUUGAACACCUGGCCUGACAGGUACAGGUUGGUGUUGAACACCUGGCCUGACAGGUACAGGUUGAUGUUGAACACCUGGCCUGACAGGUACAGGUUGAUGUUGAACACCUGGCCUGACAGGUACAGGUUGUUGUUGAACACCUGGCCUGACAGGUACAGGUUGAUGUUGAACACCUGGCCUGACAGGUACAGGUUGAUGUUGAACACCUGGCCUGACAGGAACAGGUUGAUGUUGAACACCUGGCCUGACAGGUACAGGUUGAUGUUGAACACCUGGCCCUCUGACAGAGCAGGGAAGUCAGGGUGCAGAGCAGCUAACGUUCUGAUUCUCUCUCAGCUUCGACACAAAACAUCCUACAGACGUUUGAAAAGACACUCUUGUACCUCCUGCUCCUAG